rnacentral:lncRNA from 1 species
GGGAAGAAUAGCCGCGGUAGAGGAGGAAGGGCCGGGAUGGAGGGAUUAGAACUUGCGAGUGAGCUGGGGAAGAGGGCUCAUUUUACAGAUGAGGAAACUGAGGCAGACAAGGACUGGGGAGCUCUCCUCCUCACCUGUCUCCCACUACACACCUGUGGGCAGAGCCCCUUCCAGGCCAUCAUGAAGCCGUUUCUGUCCUUCACUGUGCUGACUGUACUUCUGUACUUUUUGGCAGACAGCUCCAGCCCAGCUCAGGCUACCUCCUCGAGCAUGGCAGAGGGCUUUGAACAGUUCCAGCAUAAGGUGAAGGAGCUGGCGGAUACUGUGGCUCACAAGGCCAAGGAGGCCAUCACCAAGAUCCAGAACAGUGAAUUCUCCACUAAAACUAGGAACUGGUUCAGGGAGAAUUUCCAGAAAAUGAAAGAUAAAAUGGAUGCCACCUUCUCCAAGUAACAGCAGGAGGCUGUGCCUGUGGGCUCACCCCCCGCUGGGCUGUGCUCUCCCAGAAGCCAGUAUCCUUCCCACGUGAAGAAAGAGGCUUCUGAAUGUUCCUCCUUCCUUCUAUCUGCUCCCUCCAGCCCCUGACCCUCUGCUCACUGACUCUAAUAUAAUAAAGGUUUUAUAGCCCCUGGUAUAUGUGUGUGU